ACCCCACUUUGUGGUCAAGUGAACUACAGAUAUGUUUCAACUUACCUUCACAAUUAGAGAUAUUUUCCUAAUCAACUUGCUCAGAGAAGAUAUAACACACUUCUGGAGUAGUCCUUCAAUCAGAAAAUGCUGGUCCUGUUCAUCCAUGUCCUAAGUGCUUUUUAUUUUGCUGUACUGUUAUCAACUGUACUUGCUGCAACUUAGUGGGUAAAGUCUUAUUGAGCUGAAUGGUUCAGGAGAAAGCUGAACAACCAUCAGAAGUGUUAAGAUGCUGUGCAACAAAGACUGGCCGAUUGUGUUUGGCUAAUUAUUUCUUGGCUUUAACUUUUAUUGCACUUAUUACAAUCUUGCGCUGGGGGAGAGCCGUACAUCACAAAAGCAGAAGACCGAAGAUGACCCUGGAAAAUCUACAAACAGAGGAUGUUCGACACCGGAGACAACAGCUGUGGUCCUAUUUUGAAAAUUGAUUUGCUGUAAAUUUAAUAAGGGCUUUAUUGAUCAGUAUAUUGUUACAGAGUGGGAGGGAGAUAAAUCUUUAAGCGAAAGGAGGAUCAGAGUUGUAAAUGGUUGUAGUUUAAUGUUCUCUUUUGGAGUUAACGAAUAAAACUGUUAUUUUUUUCUUUAAAUAGUGGAAUUUGAUUAGUUCUCUGUCACUCAUUCUUUAACAAAUUAUGAGGUGAGAUGAGCUUUUCUGCCAAUUAAAUCAAGCACACAGAAGGGUUUACCUCGUGUUGUAAUAGUUUGGGGGCUCAGGUCCGUGAUUUGGACAGGUUUAGACAGAUCUGAACAAAUUUGGGGUACGAAAAAUCCCA